CGAAAGCGUGGGUAGCAAACAGAUUAGAUACCCUGGUAGUUCACGCCGUAAACGAUGAUAACUAGCCGUUGGGGGGAUUUACCCUUUAGUGGCGAAGCUAACGCGUUAAGUUAUCCGCCUGGGGAGUACGGCCGCAAGGUUAAAACUCAAAGGAAUUGACGGGGACCCGCACAAGCGGUGGAGCAUGUGGUUUAAUUCGAUGCAACGCGAAGAACCUUACCUGGUCUUGACAUAUCGCAAACUUUCCAGAGAUGGAAAGGUGCCUUCGGGAAUGCGAAUACAGGUGCUGCAUGGCUGUCGUCAGCUCGUGUCGUGAGAUGUUGGGUUAAGUCCCGUAACGAGCGCAACCCUUAUCCUUAUUUGCCAGCACAUCAUGGUGGGAACCAUAAGGAGACUGCCGGUGAUAAACCGGAGGAAGGCGGGGACGACGUCAAGUCAUCAUGGCCCUUACGACCAGGGCUACACACGUGCUACAAUGGGAAGGACAAAGGGUCGCUAAGCCGCGAGGUGGUGCUAAUCUCACAAAUCUUUUCGUAGUCCGGAUCGGAGUCUGCAACUCGACUCCGUGAAGUCGGAAUCGCUAGUAAUCGUAGAUCAGAACGCUACGGUGAAUACGUUCCCGGGUCUUGUACACACCGCCCGUCAUACCAUGGGAGUGGGUUGCACCAGAAGUAGCUAGUCUAACUGUUUACAGAGGAUAGUUACCACGGUGUGAUUCAUGACUGGGGUAAAGUCGUAACAAGGUAGCCGU
rnacentral:rRNA from 1 species